rnacentral:rRNA from 1 species
UACGGGGGGGGCAAGCGUUGUUCGGAAUUACUGGGCGUAAAGCGCGCGUAGGCGGAUUUGUAAGUCAGGGGUGAAAUCCCGGGGCUCAACCUCGGAACUGCCUUUGAUACUGCAAAUCUCGAGUCCGGAAGAGGUGAGUGGAAUUCCUAGUGUAGAGGUGAAAUUCGUAGAUAUUAGGAAGAACACCAGUGGCGAAGGCGGCUCACUGGUCCGGUACUGACGCUGAGGUGCGAAAGCGUGGGGAGCAAACAGG